GCUCGUUAUCUAGGUCGUCGUUUAACGCUUGGGGAUCUGUGCCAGAGUUAUAUACGCGGCCAUGUGGUCCGCCAGAAAAACGAGAACUGUAGCGAAAUACGCAUGCGAAAGCGAUGGGAGGUGGGCCACGGCGCGGGGAAGAGUUGACGACCGUGUGGACGGCCGUCGGGCUGUGGCGUGGUGAGCCGUGGAACAGAAUCCGCCUCGCCGUCAGAUUCGUGGACCACGAAGUUCGCUUUCCGUGGUGGUAGAAACGAAUUGAAGGCAGGACCGAGAGUCUUCGCGACUAGGGCGUGGGUAGACUCGGGGACAUAGGCAACGAACGCCGCCGGCGAGAGUUUCUGAUGCAACCAAUCAGCAGUCUGGUAGGGGAGGUAGGGGAGAGCUUGGUGCCGGCUCCGGCGGCUGUGAAUGCCUUCGCCGUGGGGGAUCUCGAAGUGGCACCGCAGGUGAAGCACAAAUCUUGUGGGCGAAGGGGGUGGCGGCGAACAGAAAGGAGAGCUCGCCGCCAAUGUCAGGAGCUAUUGAUGGGGAAGAUGAAUCCCCAAGCUGCCAAGCACCGGGGUGGAACAAAAGGCUGAGAAUGGGAGGAGAACUACGAGGAGAAACAAACUAGAAUUGGGAGAAUGCUUAUGAGAGCAAACCUUGUAGUCGAGAGGCAUGCCAGCAAGAUUUGUACAAGAGCAACGUUCGAACAGUUUGGGCACAUACUGAACGAGUGCGGGGCUUAUCAAGUUGAAGAGGUUGACAAACAUAGGACGUACAUUGCAAUCCAUAGUGAAGCAGAGAAGAGGGAGAAGUGGUGCAGGGCAUCUUACAAGGUUACAAUGCUUGACGAGGGGAAUGAAUUCGAGUUCGAGUGUGGCCAGUUUGCACACGUGGGCCUGUUGUGCAGGCAUGUGUUGAAGGUUCUAGACUUCAUUAGAGCUAAAGAAAUACCAGUGAAACAUAUAGUGAAGAGGUGGAUGAAGGAUGCUCGAGAUAUAUUGCCAGCUCACCUGACACAGUACCAGAAAGACAGUAUAUAGAACAACACAUUCUCAUAUCGACACUUCACCGUGUACAUGCACGUGAUGGAACUUGUGAUGUAGGUGACACAAGUGUGGAUGCAUAUAAUCGGUUGAAAUUUGAUAGUGAUGUUACCUUAUGCAGAAGUUAGGGAUGGUCUUGGCCUACAUGAUCGACUUGCAGACAAAGGUGCCAUGCUGAAUCGAGUCCAGCCAAUGGUGGUGUGCGCAGGUCAGGACAGCAAUGUCCAAGAAGCUGUGGAUUUUGGUUUCCCACUACUUCAGAGAAUACAAUGGCCUAUACCUUGAGCAUCAGCUCUCUGGGGACGAGCUAGCAUAUCUAAAGAAGCAGCUUGCAUACGAGGUGAUCUCCAUGAAGGGGGAAAAGGAUGAGCUCCCAAUCUUCAUGAUGCACGAAGUGCUAUUCUGAAAAAGGAAGGAGAGGCCAUGUCAUGAUGUAGUUAGUUAUAUUAUGUGUAAGAGUUCAAGUUUGCGAAGAAAAUCUAGCUAAGACUAGUUCUAGUAAUUAGAUGGGAUUCGUCGCACUGGGAAUCUUGUUUAGCUCCCAUCCUUCAUAGUGGUGUGUGGGCACUUCUUAUCCCGCUGUCUAUGGAAGCAGAAAAGGUGAAGACUGCAGCUGACUAUUUUGCGUGCAGACCUCUAAGUGAUUAGAGGACAGGACUUGUAGGAAAACCCUGUGUGUUUUGGUAGGUAGCAUGAGUGUGGCAAGAUGUCUCAUUUUGGUUUUGACAAACUUGUGUUGAUCUCUGCAUGUAAAAGACAGUGAUGUUUGAAGUGUAUGUGUGUGAUGUAUUGCU